rnacentral:rRNA from 1 species
AUUGAACGCUGGCGGCAUGCCUUACACAUGCAAGUCGAACGGCAGCACGGGUGCUUGCACCUGGUGGCGAGUGGCGAACGGGUGAGUAAUACAUCGGAACGUACCUUAUCGUGGGGGAUAACGCAGCGAAAGCUGUGCUAAUACCGCAUACGCCCUGAGGGGGAAAGCGGGGGAUCGAAAGACCUCGCGCGAUUAGAGCGGCCGAUGCCUGAUUAGCUUGUUGGUGGGGUAAAAGCCCACCAAGGCGACGAUCAGUAGCUGGUCUGAGAGGACGAUCAGCCACACUGGGACUGAGACACGGCCCAGACUCCUACGGGAGGCGGCAGUAGGGAAUUUUGGACAAUGGGGGCAACCCUGAUCCAGCAAUGCCGCGUGAGUGAAGAAGGCCUUCGGGUUGUAAAGCUCUUUUGUCAGGGAAGAAACACCGGCUCUAACACAGUCUGGGAAUGACGGUACCUGAAGAAUAAGCACCGGCUAACUACGUGCCAGCAGCCGCCGUAA